rnacentral:RNase_P_RNA from 1 species
UCGGUAUGUUGUUCUAUCGCUCCCGCACGCCUCGCGGCUGCGGGGGAGGAAAGUCCGGACAACACAGCGCGUCGCCCUGUGGAAAGCACAGAUAGGUGUAAGUUUAUGGAGCGCGUAACAGAAAAAAACCGCCAUGCGUGGCAUGGUAAGGGUGAAAAGGCGGUGUAAGAGACCACCGGCGCCGGCAGCGAUGCCGGCGGCCGUACGCACCGGCGAGUUGCAAGGCCAUGUAAACCGGCGAUUGAGGGUUGCGCGCCCGAUGCCGGAGGGUGGGCUGCACCAGAUAAAUGAUAGGACCCGACAGAAUCCGGCUUACAGACAUACCGAUUUU